rnacentral:lncRNA from 1 species
GGAUGAUGAAUUAAAAGGAUCUGUAAUUAAUUUUGAUAGAUAAAUUUUAGAUAUCAGCAAUAGAGAAAUACCUACCAUUAUAUUUGAAGAUGAAGAAGGAUGGAUUAAAAUCCUCAAUGACUUGCUUAUAAAAAAUAGUAAAAGUCAUAUUGUAAAUAUUUUUACAUCAAUUUAUCAAAAAUUUGAGAACAACUAUUAUAGUCAGAUUUAUCUAAAAGAAAGAAAUAUCAUCACACCUACAAAUAAAAUAGUGGAUGAUAUUAUUCUAUAUUUGUUUUUUUUUGUGCCAUC